rnacentral:rRNA from 1 species
AUACGAAGGGUGCAAGCGUUACUCGGAAUUACUGGGCGUAAAGCGUGCGUAGGUGGUUUGUUAAGUCUGUCGUGAAAGCCCUGGGCUCAACCUGGGAACUGCGAUGGAAACUGGCUAACUAGAAUGUGGUAGAGGGUAGCGGAAUUCCUGGUGUAGCAGUGAAAUGCGUAGAUAUCAGGAGGAACAUCCAUGGCGAAGGCAGCUACCUGGGCCAACAUUGACACUGAGGCACGAAAGCGUGGGGAGC